GGAACCGUAGCUCAGCGGUAGAGCAUAAGAUUGCAAUCCAAUCUGGUAUACAUCUUGGGGUCCCGUGUUCGAACCACGGCGGUUCCU